UUGAACAGGACAUCCCAGGGUCCUUUCCAGCUUGAAUUGUUCUGGGAUUCCAGUGGCAAUUUCCCCAAAGGUUGUUGAUUAUAUUUCCAGAAAGGGAAACCAGCAGUGUUGUGAGCUGUUUAGCUCACACUGUUCUUUACAGUUACUGCUGAGGAUGAUGCAGAAUGAGACCUUCAGCCUGAGAAGCUGAAACUUACUGAUUGUGAUUUCCUAACAGAUUUCCUCAGUGGAAUUCUGUGGUGUUAUAGAAAGGACCUGCAGGGAGCCGAGGGUGCAGUCAGCUCUAGUCCCGCGCUGAACUCACAGCUUUGGAGAAGGAGCUGUUACCAGCUGGUGAAGUACUGGAGAUACCACCUUUCCUAUCCAAAGAGUUGACACAGGGGGAAAUUCAGAAUUAUCCCCUGUUUUGAGGGUGCAUCAUAAAUCACUGGAGCAGCUUAUUCUGAGUUAGAGAGGUUUCUCCAUCACUUGGAUCCUAUAAAGACUGGCGCUGUUCCUGGUUGAUUUUCCUCCACGUCCACUAAUGCAUUAGAAAUACCUCCAAGGGAAGGAAGAGCUCCCCCCUGCCCCACUCCCUGGCCCCAGGUCCCACACCCUUGCUAGAACGGGCUGUUUGCUAUGUCAUGACUUUUUUUGUGGGGCCUGCUCACAUCACCGCUGACAGCUCUGGGUUGGGAACUGAACAGAAUUGCUGCCGCUGCGCUGGCGUGAGAGGCUGGCCUUGCCCCUCCGCAGCGCUGGGCCGGCUGUGGUAGCAUGCUGUGUAGCAUAUGCUGUACCCAACUGGACGCUUUCCAAGUUCAUUCACUUACCAGGAUAGAAGUCAAAGGAAGAGUGUGGCUUUGUGCUGCUUCUUACCCCAAAUGGUAUCAUUGUACUGCAAUUGAACCUUAAAAGCUGAUAGGAAGGGCGAGUAUGAAGACAUGGUAGAAACAGAGAAUAGAAUCAGUCUUGACUGCUUGCGUCACAAAUGAUGUGUUGUUGUAUAAAAAAUUACUAGUUGUUGGCAAUGGCCCUAUCUGUCAAAUUCAGUAAGUUUUGCUGAUUUACUGUAGAUGAGGAACCGUCCCUUUUGUUUGUGUUUGUGUCUGCAUCUGUGAUUUGCAGUCUCACUAGAAAAAAAAAAUCAAGAAAAGCAGCAUGGAUGAAAAGUACAUUUACAGCUGUGUAUUCAGUUAGGUGAAAAGAUUGAAUGGCUGAGACAUGAGAGAUCAAUGGACGGAGACUGGUCUUAUUUAAACCUCUAUUAAUGUUUUGGGGACUUA